CAUUAGCCCCGAAAUGUUAAUACGAUCAAGAAAAAACGUCAAUAAGGGUAUUAGUGUCAAUUUACAACAAAUUAGUUGUAACUAACUUUUGAAAAAUAUCCCAUAACUUUAAAACGCAUAUAACUUUCUCGAUUUAAAUUAUUUUUUCGCACAACAAAUAUCAAAUCAAAGAUAAUUUCAUAAGGAUUCUAACGAAAUCUCACUUACAUAUGUUUCCAUGUCAAAAUUUGAAAAAAAAUCGAAAAUUUUAAUAAAUUUCGGUAACAACUUUAUGUCAAUACAAGGCUUGUAUAAUGUCAAUAUGAAAUUGUAUUGACAUUGUCAUGUCUUUGUGUUGAUGUAUUUCAUACACUGUAUUGACAUUGUGUUUCUAAACCCUAAAUUUGAUAGUUGCUAUUAUUUUUUAAUAUUAAAAAAUGAAAAACAAAAUUACACAUGGCAAAUUGUAGACCACAAGAUUUCUAAAAUCCUAUGAUCUUAAAUUAGUUGUAGUUAGCAAUUAAAUGAUAAGUUAGCAAUUGAUCACUCCCCAACAUUACUAAAUAAACAGAUAUUUUCAAGAUAAGUUUGCAUAAUUUUGAACCCCAAACAAAAGUGAAAAAGAUAGUCAAAUACUACCUCCGUCCCUUAAAAAGAGAAACGAUUUCCAUUUGGUCUGUCCCUUAAAAAUAUAAACUUUCUAAAACUUUCUAUUUUAUGAACUGGACCCCAUAAUCCACUAACACUACUUCCUCUAUUUUUUUCUCUUCCUCUCUCUUUACCCAUUUUUCUCUCCCUCUCUCUUACUCUACCCUUUUUUUCUCUCUGUCUUUCUUACUUAACCAAUUGUGCAUUAAAACCCAUGCCGUUUCAAAAGUUUCUAUUUUUCAAGGCCACAUGUAGUAGUAGUACUUAAGAAAAUUAUGAAUUACUAUUAACUUACAAGGAGGCUUGUUGGAAGAAAAUUGAGUAACAUCGUUAGUAAAAUAAUCUUGUUAUGUGCCAGUUGAAACAGGUAAGCCAAUCGUACUAACAUACUUCUCAACAUGCAAUCUGUUGUUGCUGGAGAAAUUAUGGCCAAAAAGAUGCUGCUUCAAGGCUUGUUCAUGGUAAUCAAUAGAUUGUUCAGGAACCUGGUGCUCCAUAAGACCCUUGUCGUCUAUCAGUUUCACCUAGCUACUUUGCCAGGUUCUGAGGUGAAGUUUCAGACUUAUCCCAUGAGUCAAAGUCUAGUGAUAAAAUAUUUGAUAUAAUGCCGCUCUCCCCUGUAUCAAUAGCAGAAGCACCACUGCUCACUUCAGUUUCAUAUCUCCCAAAUUGAGAUAUUUUCUCUUUUCUAAAUAAAAGAGUGGAAUCUACAGUACCAUUAUUGAAUGUAUCCUCUAGAUACACACUUAGAAUAUUAGAAGUUGAAACCUUCAAGUUACCACUUCUAUAUACAGCUUGCCUAUUAGAAUCAAUACUGGUCAUUGUCAAAUGCAGGAGAAAUAAAAUCAGAAUGCUUUAAAAUAA